rnacentral:miRNA from 1 species
AAGUUCUCAUAAUUCAAAACG